rnacentral:rRNA from 1 species
GACGAACGCUGGCGGCGUGCUUAACACAUGCAAGUCGAACGGAGUGGCGAACGGGUGAGUAACACGUGGGUGACCUGCCCUGCACUUCGGGAUAAGCCUGGGAAACUGGGUCUAAUACCGGAUAGUGUGGGAUGGGCCCGCGGCCUAUCAGCUUGUUGGUGGGGUAAUGGCCUACCAAGGCGGCGACGGGUAGCCGGCCUGAGAGGGUGGACGGCCACAUUGGGACUGAGAGACGGCCCAGACUGCUACGGGAGGCAGCAGUGGGGAAUAUUGCACAAUGGGCGCAAGCCUGAGGCAGCGACGCCGCGUGGGGGAUGAAGGCCUUCGGGUUGUAAACUCCUUUCGCUAGGGACGCGGUACCUGGAGAAGAAGCACCGGCUAACUACGUGCCAGCCGCCGCGGUAAUAC